UAAUUUAAAGGAUGCUCUAAUCGUCUCCAACAUUUAAACAAGCUUCUUUUCAUACAUAUAUUGGGCCAUUUUCAGUACUAAAUGGCUCCAUUAAAUGGUUUUCCAGGUCUUAUGCUGGCCAGAGAGCUAUUAAAGUCAAUGGGGGUUUUGCCUCUGUAAGAAACGGAGCAUCAGUUCUUCUGCCAGGCGAAAUUCAUCAUUCAGCAAAAGUUAAACUCUUGCUCAGAGUAUCCAACAAGCUGCUGUAAACAAGGACAUAAAGGUUCUCAAAUGCUGCUGAGCUGGUUUUGCAGAGGUAAUGUCUUUCACAGCAGUAAAAUCGGUUCCGUGGGUAAGCGAGCAGGGGACAGAGCGGGGCUGCCCAAAAACCAGAGCAAGUCCCCUGUUUGAGGAGAGGGCACGAAUUGUGCCAGAAGCAAACCUGGAUUAUGUCUUCAGAGCCUCCCUGAGCCUGCCGUGCGUCCAGCUCCUCUCCAGACACCAGCAGGUUGCCUUGGCAGAAAUGCCCCUUACGUCAAGUGUUUUUGCAAACACGCAAAAGAACAAAAACCUUCAAAAAUACCUUUGAAAAGCCUUGGCAAGUCCAAUCCUGGAGGUGAUUUGGUUGCGAUUAGGUGUAAAUCUCCAACUGGAAAAGAGCCUCUCCAGCAGGUUGGUUCUUACUAGAGUAUCUUAGUGCUUCCUAAAGAUCAAGAGUUAAAUGUAAUUUAUUUUUUCCUGCAGAAACGUCAGAAUUUUGUUGGUUUCCCAGAACUGUGAAAAUAAUUUGACAAUUAAACAUUGAAUUGGUGGGGAAAAGGAGGACAACCAUUUGCUGUUCUUUAUUAGGAAAAGGUGGGGUUUUUUUUUAUGUUGUCAUUUAUUUGAAAAACAAAGAUAGUAGCUAAACCCAUCUAUUUAAAAGAUUUGUGUUUUCAUGGAUAGCUUUUUCUUUCAAAAACAAACAAAACCCAAACCAACCUAGGGUCAUGUUUCUGAAGAUGUAAGUGAACUUGGAAUGUGUUGCUGUUAGUGAAGUUUCACACACACACACACAAAUCAAUAACUCAAUUAAUAGCUGAGUUGCGAUAGGGCUGGUGUCCUGGAACAGCUGUGCAGGGCGCGAGGCGCCCGGUUCCAGCCAGGACACGUAGGUGUGAAAUGGAGAGAGAAUUCCACUCUCGGUCUGUGACUCCUGGACGGUGAAUCUGGGGGUAACAACCCCCAGGUGGGCAAACGCUGCCCAGCAUUUGAUUGCACUUUCAUCAGGUGGUUGUUUUUUUAUUUACCUCCAACACAGAUGUAAAACUGGAUACAGAAGGUGAUUCCUCCUAUUUGUUGUUCUUAGCUCACUUUCUUUUGUUUGCGGGGGAUUGGGGGCGCUGGGUACCCGGCUCUGUUGCCAGCUGUGCUGCGGUGUCUCCUGCCCAGGAGAAAUGAAGCUGGGAGACACCUGGUUUGGUGGUAGGAGCUCUGCAGGGACGGCCUCGCUCUGCUACCCGUGUUUCAUGGGGUUCCGUGCUGCCGGUGUCCCCCGGGAGCUGGGCUGUGCUGGGACAGCCAUGCCGUGGGCUCUGCUGUGAGCUUUGGGGUCUUGGGGACAGCAAAUGGUCCUGAAAUCCUGUGGGAGAACAUUACAGAGAAGAGGAUAUGGACUUCCACCUGUCCUCCUGAGACACAGGGCCCCAUAACCGGACUGUGAAAUGUCUGUUUAUCUUUGAAUGUGGUGUUGGAGAGAGCAAUCCAUCAGUGAUGAGGACCUUGGCUGAGCACGAACAUGUUGAGCAGAGGUACAAGGCUGCUCUGCCCUCCCAUGCCAUCUCUGCCGAGAUCAUGCUCUCUUGAGUUCUUUGUUCUUUUUUUCUUAAUAGAAUCACAGAAUGUUAGAGAUUAGAAGGGACCUGGAAAGCUCAUCAGGGGUACAGCAGAACAGCAAAAAGAGCCAUCAGCUCUGGUAAGGACUUGUCCAAGUGUCUAUGAGACCGAGGGUGGUGUUUGUUGGAUGCAACAGUUGAGUUUGUGGUGAUGGGACCUGUUGAGCCUUGCUGCACGGGCUGGUCUCAACUGCAAUUGAUCUUGAUUGCACAAAUUCAGCCCCAAGCUGGAGGCUCUGCCAGUGGUGGUGACCCACGUCCAGCUCUGCAGCGAUCCCAGGCUGGAACCGCUGCCCUUUGUGCACGAGGAGAGGCUGCACACACCCUCCACCAGCAUUUUCCCUGCUCAGCCCCUUGGAACAGGCACAAAAAGUUUCCAAGGGUGUUUCCGUGUUACUGUGUUUUUCCCUGUUUGGGUUACCAGAUGAUCGUCCCGCAGUGUCUCUUGCAGGCACUGCUGAGGACUGUGAGGACACCAAGGGUGACCUUCUCCCCGUCUCCCUCUGCCCCCCGAGCCAUGGGCUGGCUGCUGCCCCUGUACGCGUGGUCGCCCUGCAAAGGGCUCCUCGGGGCAGAUGUUACCAUCAGCUUACUUGUCAUGUUUAUACACAAAGAGCAGCUUGCGGUCCUGCUGGCCUUUUAAUGGAAAGGAAAUACUGUGCUCCAUUGCUAAUUCCUCUCUUUUCCUGCUGCUUGGCCAUGGUGGGAUGGGGGAGGCUCUUAGCCCCGUCCUGCAGGCAGCUGCUCCCCGACCAUUGCCAGGGGUCGUUCCCGUUUGCAUCCCUGUCCUGCUCCUGCUGCGACAGCAGAGUGACGUCCCAGGGAAGGCGCUGGGGUGGCAGUGAGCAGCAUGGCUAUUGCUGCUGAAAUACCUGCUUUGGGCCUCUUUUCUUUCUGCCAACAACCAUUUUGUGCUCUCCUGCUCCUUCUGACCUGGCCCGGGGCUGGGCUGGCCCAGUGCACGUGGGCAAAACAUCAUUGCCGCUCGACUUUUGAAGUGUGAGGCUCGCUGCAGGCAACUGGUUGUGAUAUUGGGUCCCUGGGUCACCUUUGGUGAAUGUCACCUCUGCAGCAUCCCUCUGAGCAGGAAGAUAUCUCCUGCCUAAUGUAGUGUUUGGGGCUGGGGUCCCACAGCAGGGCUGUGCUCUGCCCCGGGGAACCCCAGCUGACCUCUCCUCCGCGAGCUGCACCCCACGCUCGGCCCUGGGCACGCAGCGCGCUGGGGGCGGGCAGCAGCUUAGCACAGGCAUUUCUCAGCCUGUCGCUAGUGACUCACAGCCAGAGCGCACAGGAAAACUGUAGCCACAUUUCAAAAUACCAGAUGCUGUGUUGUUUCCUUGCCACUAUGGAUUUUUCCAUCGCCCCAGCAGCAGGCCUGGAUGCUCUCUGUGCUGCGCUUUGGCUGUCCUGCUGGUCCAGGUCCUGUUUCUGUGCAAAGACCUUCAGGUCAAUGAGUCCCUGUUCCUCCUCGUUUGGAAGCACGUCCUGGCAAGAGGUGAUUCACUGAAGUUGCACCAAGAUGUUCAGUGACAACAAAGUUCCUAAAUCCAGCCAGAGCCCGCAGGCUGGAUGGGAAAGUCACAAGUGUGUUCUUGCGGGGAUCUGGUGGGGGAGGCCGGGAGCAGAGCCCCCCUGGAGCCCCCAGCACCCACAGCCCCUGCCCAGGGUGGCCCUGCAGGAGCAGCAGGUCCUGGCUUGGCAGAGGCAGCAGCCAGGGCAGGUGUGAGCAUAUACUACAUAGGGACAUUUACAAUAUUAUGUAUAGCUUUUAAUUAAAUAUAAUGAUUAGAGAAAAUUUUGGGAGAGUGGGUUAAUUUCAAAGGCAUCAGUAAAGAAUUAUCACCACUGUUUUCCUGGGUUAUUUAUGAUUCGAGAACAUUAUAUGUUAUUUUUCCCUACAAUGCCUUACACAAACAACCUCUGUCACUGCAACAGUUCCUUUUCCCUGAGCCUUUGCAUUUUGCAUCCUCCUGUGACACCCACUCGGGGAACCAUUUUGCUCCCAGUGCCGGCCCAGGACAGCUGUCCCUCCCACUUGCCCCAUAUAGAGGUAAGGUAUAGAAGGCUACAGGAAGAAAUAAGUCAGGAUCAAAAAAAGAAAGCAGGCUGCUUCUCCCCAUAGUCUGUAGAUUUACCAGAAAGUGAGUUUUUCAGGCACAAAGGUUCUUGCUCCACUCCAGGAAAAGCCUAAUUCAGUGCACCAAGAAGAUUUUCACUUGAAACGUUGCUGAUGUUCUCAUGCUACCAUUCAUUAGUAGAGAUGGGCUGGUUUCUUACUAGUUACAUUUGAUUUUUGUUUGGGAACAGUAGGAGAAAAAAUGUGCCCACUGUGAAGAUUUGGUUCACACGGGUCGGUGUAUUAUUUCAGCUGCAGAAGUUGCGUGAUGAAUGCACAGCGGCUUUCCAGGAUGAAAAUCGAUACCCCGUGUGCCACCGGUGUCUGGAACGGGCUCUUUUAGCACGACUCCCCAUGCCGAGCUGCCGGGCGUGUUUUCUUUGUUUCCUGAUGUAGUAAGAGCGGCCACCCAGGGUGCUGGGCAUCCUAGACGAUCCUUUAACAACGUGUCAAACAGAUUCGUCGGUGCCUCUGAAUCAAAUCAAAUGACCCUGCCAUAACAUAAGCCUGGCUUUGUAAAUGUAAGUAAGUGGCAUUUAAAGCUUUACGUGGUGAAGGGCACAGUGUAGUUAACGAACUUUGUGUUCAGCUCCAGCACACAAGUGUGUUUUCUGUGGUUUUCAAUCCGAGACGCUCUGCCCUUCCCUGCUGCUGAUGGUUUUCCUCCCCUCGGGACUGAACUCAGCUAAUUAACCUUUGUGCCACUGCUCAUCAGCGCAUCCUCGGUGGCUGCGGAGCUGCGGGGUGCAGGGAGAUCCGGGCCGGGCUCCUCCGAGCCGUCCGGCUCACGGGCAGAGUGAGGUGGGUGCAUAAUACUUCCCAAAACAUUUUUGUGUGUUUCUAUUUCUUUCUCCUCUUGCUUAUUGUGAGUAAUUACAAUAAAUAAUUAGAUGUUGCUUGAAAUAUUUGGACCUUGUGAUACAAAAUCAGUGCAUUCACUGCAGAGCUUUUUUUUUUUUUUUCCUCUAAAAGGCAAAUUACUCUUCAAUUUCCCUUUUCCUUACAGAUCACUGUAAAUUCGUCCAUUGUGUCAGAAGGGCUUCCUCUCCCCACAUUCCACAGCCCCGUUCAUCAAACGCUCCCGACAUGUGUAGCCAAGUGCAUCAGGUGCAGGAAAUGCUGGAAGUGGCUGCAGGCUCUGGACAGGCUGCCAUCUCCCCAGGUGGAAUGAUUAUGAUAAUAAAUAUAACAAUAUAAUAAAUAAUAUAAGUAAUAAUAUGAGCCAGCAGUGUGCCCAGGUGGCCAAAAAGGCCACCGGCAUCCUGGCUUGUACCAGGAAUAGUGUGGCCAGCAGGACCAGUGAAGAGAUUGUGCCACUGCACUCGACACUGGGGAGGCCCCACCUUGAAUCCUGGGGGCAGUUUUGGGCCCCGCAUGCCAAAAGAGGCCUUGAGGUGCUGGAGCAAGUUGAGAGAAGGGAACGGAGCUGGUGAGGGGCUGGAGCACAAGUGUGAUGGAGCGGCUGAGGGACCUGGGGGUUCAGCUGGAGGACAGGAGCUGAGGGGAGACCUUCUGAUCUCUGAACUGCCUGAAAGGAGCUUGGAGCCAGGGGGGGUCGGGCUCUGCUCCCCAGGAACAAGCGCCAGGAGCAGAGGAAACGGCCUCAAGUUGCGCCAGGGGAGGUUGAGGUUGGAUCUGGGAACAAUUUCUUCCCCAAAGGGCUGUGGGGCAUUGGAACAGGCUGCCCAGGGCAGUGCUGGAGUCACCAGCCCUGGAGGGGUUGAAAAGGCAUGUGGGCAAAGUUUUUAUAGACAUGGUUUAGUGCUAGGGUUAGGUUAGGUUAUGGUUGGACUUGAUGAUCAUGAGGGUCUCUUCCAACCAAAAUGAUUCUAUGACUCUAAAUAAUAAUAAUGUAAUAACAGAAGCAGCACAGAGCAGCAGGUAAAUGCAGUGUGUGGAAAGGGUGCUUUGUGGGGUGGCUCCACAGCUGGCUCCUCUCUCAGUGAUGUUGUUGAUGGUGCCUUUGUCUGGGCCCAUGUGCAGAGGGAGGUGCUGCGGGAUGCCCUGGCACUGGGGGAGCUGCAGUGUUGCUUUGAGGAAACAUCCCCAGAGUGGGACAGAAAAGCCUGUGACUUCCAGAGGAGAUGAGGCACAGAACAAAACAAGGUGAGGAGCUGAUGUAGUGGCUGAGGGACAAGGGAAAAGAAACAAGAGGGGAGAGCAAUGGUUUGUGGUUAUUUAAUUGCAGGGCAGGCAGAAGACACCAGGAACUCUGAGCUGGGCACCUCCUGGCCGUGGGGCAGCCAGCCCCAAAGUUUGUCCUUGCUCAAAGGGCAGCUGUAGCCUGUGCUCACCCAGCAUGGGGACCAGCAUCAGCAAAGCAAAAUGGAGGCCAGUGGAGAAAGCAACCUAAAUAUCACUGUACACUGCCCACAGCUGUUAAACGCCGUGGCUGUGAUCAAGGCUCUGCCGUUCCCGGACACCAGCCUGGUUGGCUCAGAGGGAGCUGAAGGACGUUGGUGCCAGCUCUGGGCUGCAGCGUGGGCUCUGUCCUUCCUCACUGUGCGGAACAGUGGGCAGGCUCUGGAGAGAUGCCCCACGUCUGCCUGAGACAACAGGGGUCUCGAGACAGUUCGAGUUUCAGUGACGAUCCUCUGCAGCUGGUGAGUUCUCCGUCCUGCUCCACUUUGGGCUCUGACACAGGGAGAAGUGCAUUAGUUGAAGUCAUAGCAGGUGGGUGUUUUGGAUAUGGGUAUUUUCCAUAGCUGGUGUGUGGGUCUGUAUUAACAGAUCUCUCUGAGAGGAGCAUAAGGACCAUUUUAGUCUUGCUACUGCUGAGAAGGCAGAGGAUUGGGCUAGAGCUGUGGCUUGUGAGGAAUGACUGGAUAGAUACAAACAGACCCAGGGAAUGAGCAACAAGGCAGCAGCCCCGUUUGGGAGGAAGGGUUAGCCCAGCAGGAGCCCAGCCUCACAGCAGGAUGCCUGCAAACCUCUGCAACACAAACAGUAGGGAGUUCAUUCAUGCAGCAGAAGAUUUUUCUGACCUUAUCUAGCCUUGCAUAUUCACUGCCCCUCUUCAUUUAAACAAUCAUCGUGGGAGCACUCUGCCUGCACCGGAAAAAUCCAUCCUUCCCCGCUGCUGCUCUGCAAGAAGAUGCUCUCUGUUGCACUGCUAUAUGGUGGGUCUCCUGGGUCCCUACCACUAAGGAAAAUAAAUCUGUUUACAAGAAACAAACAGCUUUGCGUAAACUACAGCUAUAAGCUGCCAAAUUUGUGUUCUUCCAGCACAGAAAUGCACAUUUCCCCCGCCAUGAAGUGCUGCGUUAACAGCAGCCACGGUGCAGCUCCAGGGGCGUGUGGUUAUGAGAUCAUGUCACUCGGGAACAGAAAGCACCAGACUAUGCCCUGUGUCUUAUAAAGACAGAUGUCUGACGAUUAUCUCAUGAUAACCAUCGGAGUUCCUGCUGUAAUGAUACUCUUAAUAAUUUAUCCUUCAGAAGCUUUUAGGUUGGGAUCACCCUGCGCCCGGAGCAAACCGCUGUGCUCAGGGUCUGCUCUGGAAACAGUCACCGAGAUCCCAGCGCUGUGUGCAUAGACCAUGAAAAGAUGUAGCUGUGAUGUGUUUCAAAUGAUGUGUGUAACCAGAAAGUCAGAUAAUUUCUAGUUGGGACGAUAGAUAGUAAUGCUCAGACCACUAAUAUCACUAAAUAUGGUUGCAUGAGAUUGAAUAAGAAUACCCUUAUUGUCAACCAUGUUUUCUUUUUUAUUACCAGAUAAUAUGGUAAUACAUUAUUAUAGUUCUUUCUGUAUGGUUCUUCUUCCUAUAUGUUCAUCAUUUAGACUCUAGGAGGGCUGCGGUUGCAGCAGCAGUGGAAGCACAUGAGGAAAUGACUCAUCCCCCAUGGGCUAGACGGGGAUUUUUGACCCAGCAGAGCACAGGAAAACUCGCACAAAGGUGGAGCACUGUGUUAUUCGGGGAACAAAAUGUCACAACGAGUGACUGCUUCGAGUUUAGUCUGCUUUUUAUAAUAGACUUGUAGGCUGUGAAGAAAAUGUACUUAUUGUUGCAUUACAAAAGGUCAAGUGUAGUGAGCACCUUCAGCUGCGAAUGGUCUGAAGGGUGCUGCAGUGACCGUCCCUGUGUGGCAGGAGGCUCUGGAACGAGGGGCUGAGUGGAGUUUCCAGAUCAACAAGAGGCUCCUUUUUCCUUUGUGCUUCUUCAAGCUCCUCCCCUGGUCCCACCAAAUGUCCUGGACAAGGGACAAGCACCAUUGGAUGUGGCUUCCAGUUGUGUAGAAAUGUGCUUAGGGACAUGGUUUAGAGGUGGACUUGGCAGUAUUGGGUUAAAGGUUGGACUCCACGAUCUUAAAGGUUUUUUCCAACCAGAACAGUUCUAUGAUUUGUUCUUCCAGCUCCAGCACUGAGCUCGCAGGGCCCAGGCGGGAGGGAUUGCUGUCAGCGCUGGGGUUUGCACUACGGUGGUCGUGGCCAACUCAAGUCCUGAUGAUACAAAGGCAUUUCUCUGCGCUUUGCAGUAACUUUCAGGUGCAUCCGAACUAAUCUGAAGCAAAACUUGUUUCAAGGGUUGUUUGAGUCUCUGUAGGCUUCCAAUAAAUCCUCCUUUAAAGGAGAGCAGUAUCUGCAGAGGAGCCUGGGGUGUCCCUGUACCCUCAGAGUUUUAGACUGAGCUUGGAGAACACGCAUCCUUCACCCGCGGGACCUUGGUGUCACACAGACCAGUUGUGUUUCCCGCUUUAUUUGCAGAGCUGUGAGGUGGGAAGGAGGGGACCGGGAAGGGCAGCUGCGUCUCCACCCCACCUCCAGCCUUCCCCACUGCCCGCAGGAGCUCUGUGGCUUCUCCCCAUGAAAACUCCCCACAGCAAACCCUCUGCUUCUGCACAGGGUUCAGGAGUAAUGCAAAAUCUCUUCCCAGAAAUCAGGCUGUGUGUGUGUGUUUGCGUGCAUGCUUGUGCCAAGUUUUGGCCCGAAGAGAGUUUUUACACCUGACUUACAACCUGCUGAAGUAAUUUUACUAUGGAAGCAGUGACAUAACUUUAAAGUAAUGCAAAUAACAGCUAUAAUGCUGGUGGUUUAUAAAGCUUUUAUGAGGUGUCUAUAGAGGAGGCGACAUCCCCAGCAUGGCAGAGCUGGCGGUUCCUGGCUGGGACCCUCCGGCCGGGCCGGGGUGGCUGCAGGGUGCUGGUGGCAGCUGCUGUGACAGAGGGUUUGUCACACAGCAAACCUGGGACCUGCAAAGUGGAUGACAGCACGUGCUGGCAUAGGUGACAGCAAUCACUGCCAUCUGUGCUGCACAGACCGGCUGGAGCAUCCCAUAGAGAGCAUGGGAGACCUGAAAAUGGGCAGGUUUUCCUUCUCCUUAGCCCUGGAGAACAGGAGCUGAGGGGAGACCUUCUGAUCUCUGAACUGCCUGAAAGGAGCUUGGAGCCAGGGGGGUCAGGCUCUGCUCCCCAGGAACAAGCGCCAGGAGCAGAGGAAACGGCCUCAAGUUGCGCCAGGGGAGGUUGAGGUUGGAUGUGGGAACAAUUUCUUCCCCAAAGGGCUGUGGGGCAUUGGAACAGGCUGCCCAGGGCAGUGCUGGAGUCACCAGCCCUGGAGGGUUGGACAGACGGACAUGAGGUUCUCAGGGACAUAGGUUAGUAUCAGGGUGGUGUAACGGUUGGACUCGAUGACCCUGAGAAUCUUUUCCAACCAAAAUGAUUCUGUGGUUCCUCUGAACAGUCAGGGAACUCUGGAGCAUCUCUGGGAACCAGAUUUUAAUUAAAAGGUAAAACUGUGUCUGCUACACUCUUGCAUUGUUGCUAUUAAGAGGAUAAAAUCUCCCAUUAUCAUGUAAUUUCUGAAUGUGCAGAGUCAUAGCUAGAGAUGGGUUGGUGACAAGAAAGAGGGUUUUUGGCUAAUUGGCUGCUAAUUCAUGUAUAGGUGGUGUUCAGCAACCCCUUUGCAUGGCAGAAUCUGUAAAGAUGAGAGCCUAUUUUAAAGCUGAAAAAAUGCCUUUGUGUUACAAUUCAGAAGUUGUCCUAGAAUAGAACCAAUAUGCCUUUUUAGAAACAUUUUGUUUCUAUUGCACAUAUCACUGCUGUGUGAGAAGGCUGACUGUAUAUCGAUAUUUUUUCAGUUACUUAACGUUCAGAAAUGACUGAUUCAGAAGCCCUGACCCAAAUGCCAAUAUGAGCAAAACAGCAGCUUCAAUUAUAUCAGCUCAUUUCUGCAGGGUAUCUCUGUGCUGCACAGAUUGUUCAUCCACAAAACCAGACGUGAACAGGUACUAUGUCCAGUGGAGUGACACAUCUGGAACAAGCAUCUAAUUUAUCUAAAAAUGUGACCAAAGAAAUUAAAAACUUGGGUGUUUGGGGCACUGAAAUGAUAUUCCUGGAGGGACUGGUGGCUCUGAGUUAACUGGAUGUCGUGGAAGGGGGAGAGUAAAUGGUCACUUGUAGAGAGUUCACAUGUGUAGUCUAGAGGGUGAGAAGAAGAAACGGAGCCCAGAUUGGAAACAUGGACAAAACACGUGUUUUUUAAAACCCCCGUGGGUCUCAAUGCCCUGUUACUUCCCCGAUGUUCUCAGGAGCUGGUGAAAACCAGACCCGUAACACAGCUGGGUGAGAAAUGGCCAUUACCAGCAGUAUUUUGGCCUUGGGUAUAACAGUUUCAGUUCUUUCAUGUUCUAAUAUUAAAGACAAGGAGCACCUGUAAACUUAAUUUAAAAGUUACAUAAUAGUUAGCCGAGAUGGGACUACUGUACAAAUCCAAUUUAUUAUUUUGUAAUUGCUGUUGUUAAUUAGAAUGGUAAGGUAUGAAAUUCCCUGGGUAGAUUAAUCAAUAAUUUAUUGCUUUUUUUUUAACUCGCAAAGCUUCUUUUCUUUAAACACCACCACACACUGUGGUGUUAGGCCCAUUAAAAAAAUAACAUUUUCUAUUUCUUUAACCCCUUUCAUUACACACAUAGCAGAGGCUCAUUGUCUUAACUCUGAACCAACGCACACUAAACCAGUGAUGAAGAUGGGACUGGGGAACCGAUGACAGCUGGGCACACAAAACAAGGCGUUGAGCAAUAUCAUGAAAUGAUAAAGCACGGUGUGGGAAAGCUUGGUGUUCCUUUGGACUUGGAGCAAAACUUCUAACCAAAUGGUGCUUUCUUAUUUCCAGAAUCUUUUCCUGCUGACUUAAAUACCGGCUGGAGGAUGGGCUGGUUUGUGAUCUGGUUUAUCUUCAGCUCUCAAGUAGCGUGUCACUGAAUGACCUUGUGCAGCGAGUCUUCAGUAUCUUUCCAGUCUUUAGUUUCUCUCAAAUAUUAACCUGACAGUUGCUUAAUUAUCAAGUCUUCUGCUUUUAGAUAAUUUAGGAGGAAAAAUUGUGCAGUUCAGACUCAAACUAUCCCUUUUCAGCUUCAAGGUGCAAAUACAAAUUUUUUCCCUAUUCCUUCUCUUGGCCGGUGGUGGCACCAAUGACUCUUGUAGAAAUGUCCCCUCGUCAUGCCAGCAGUGACGUGUCUGCCCAUGGCCAGGCCACGGCCCUUUCCCAGUCCCACCAGCAGCAGCUGCUGGACUGGUUUCCAGGGCUGUCACCUGUGUGGGGCCCAAGCUCUGUGCACAAAAGGAGCUCGUGAUGAUUUGCAUGGAUCCUGUUUAAGCAGCCAUUUAUUGCAGCCAGCUGUUGUAGCAAGGCAUUCACGGGUCACUGUGUGAGCAGGUACUUGGUUAUUCUCUCCUUAUUUUUACUUGUGAACAGAUUACAAGACUGUAGUGGUUUCGAUGCAUCACACCAUGUGGCUGUUCAGAGCCUGGGCCCCAUCUAUUUGGUGGGCUUGUGGGAUGAGAUGGUGAGUGUGCAGCUUUGCUGGCUUUGAUCCUUUCUCUAGUGGCUAUAAACACCAAACUUUUCUUAUUUUCUGUAUUUUCAUUCUAUAUUUUUAUAAUUAAUUAUAUCUUUCACCACUCCAAGUCUUGUCUGUCAGUCCUGGUGGAAGCCCCAGCUCUCUCUGGGGUGGUUGGGACGUGCACGGUUUCUGUGGGUGCCUCCAUACCCGUAGGUCUAAAGUCUAUGGUGCUCGUGUGGGAAGUUAAACUUCUCCGUAGAGUUUGCACGAUCAGGAACGAGCACCCCAAGCUCCUUAUGGCAGAAGCUGUGUCCAUGUGGCACCUACAGCCAUUUGAAGGGAGACGGUCAAGUCCGACGAUACAGUGUUAAAACAUCUGCCUUUUCACAACCAAUCUUCCACGGCUCGGCUGAAUGACCUGUAGCUAAAUAAUCACAUCUGAAUUUGUGUUUCAGAGGGAAGUUCAUUUGGCUGUGCAGUCUAAAUGCACCAACGCUGCCUUGCCUCGCCUGAAGCGCUGUCACCGAAUGUCCGUGGUCACGUUGUGACUAUCGAGAAGUCAUCAGAGAAGCUGCUCGAUGUUUUUCUGAGGAGCUGUUUUGAAUUCAUUGCUAAACAAUGAGCAGAGGUCAUUUUUGGUGAGGCUCAAAUGGCCUAUUUUUGUGCUAUGAUGAAUUUUAAUAAUUGCUGUAAGUAUGCUAUUAGUCAAAAUGAAGCAGAAAGAAACCCAAUUAUUGAACUAGACUGCUGUGACUGGAAUCUAUAGCUGAUAUAUUAAAGCCUGACUGUCAUGCUUAAUAAUUAACUCAACUCGCUGGCAAACCUGGAAAAGAAAAUGAACAUUAAUAAUGAGUUAACUAAUCAUUAUUUCUUUUUCCCCACACCAUUAGAACAAUAUCCUGCAGUACAUCAAUUAAACAAUACAAUAAUCACAGAAUCACAGAAUCGACUGGGUUGGAAAAGCCCUCAGAGAUCAUCCAGUCCAACCCUUGGUCCAACUCUAGUCCAUUGACUAGAUGAUGGCACUAAGUGCCAUGUCCAAUCUCAGUUUAAAAACCUCCAGGGCCGGUGAGUCCAGCACCUCCCUGGGCAGCCAUUCCAAUGCCUGACCACUCUCUCUGCAAAGAAUUGCUUUCUCAUCUCCAGCCUAAAUUUUAAUUUUACGUCCUAUAUAUUCUCUGCUUUUGCCUGUACUUGUCUACCUUCUGCUUUCCCAAUACAGCUUUGAUGUAAUUGCUGCUUUUCACAAAGUCUCCAUGUGCUGCCCUGGUCUGUGUAAGUAUUGAAGGAGCCGUUACAGGAUGCAGAUAUUAUUUACAUUUUCUUUGUUUUCACCUGAUCCAAAGAGGAAUGAUCCGCCUCCAGACAGACACUGAGCGCACUCUCUGCACAUUCAGAGUCUUCGAAUUCCCUCAACUGCUUUCGUGAGAGGAUGGGGGCAGCAGAAACACCCCGAUGAAGAGAAGAGGGUGUUAUGAUGUGUGAGCAUCUCUCUGGCGCAGCUCCCGGUGACGACUGUCUCUCCAUCAGCUCUGCAGCCAGCGCUGAUGGGACAAUCCCAGUGACCCUGCUCGAGGGCCCUGUGCGUCUCGUGGCUGGAAGAGGAGCAGCUUUGCAUCCAGCCCCGGUGAAACCCGAACUCAGCACAGCUCACCCACCUCCCAAAGCCAAAUCUCGGCUUUUCCGUGCUGCAGAACAAGCUGACUCCACAGGUUUUCCUGUCUCCAUGCGGGCAGCAGCCAGCUGGCUGCUCGAGCAGGCACCUCCCCACACGGAUGCUGUCUGGAGAGCCCCACCAUUGGCACAAUGGCUCCAUGACCAUGAUUUUCCCAAAUUAUUUCAAAUUAUUGCUUUUUUUUUAGCGAUAAAUGUUCUUGCAGGGAGGAUGGAGGGGCUUUGCUUUAACAUUGUCCUCAGUCUCCCAUUGGAGCUACCUCAGGAGUCAUUUUUAUUUGGAUCUUAUCUCCCACAUCUCAGCGAGCUCUGCCAGCCUCGUCUGGAAAAUCACCGUUUGGCUCUGACCUUGCUAAUAUUUGCAAGGGAGUCUGAGAAACAGAUAGAAACAUUGCACUAAUUCAGAGCAUAAUGUGAAGUUAUGCAAAGCUGCAGAUCCCCCUGGUGUGUGCCCAGGGAGAGGAGAGCUGGGGGACACAGAGGGCUCAGUGCCCACCAGAGACCACAGGAUGAGCUGGAUCCUUGGGUACAGUGACCUCUUCUGAUUAUGGUUUUUAUUUGAGGAGGAGGCUGAACUCUGCAAACAGAAACCUGGACUUCGAUAAGAGCUUAUCAAAUGUAGGGUAGUGCCCACAGCUGGUUACUUGUGGCUGGAUGGAUUGAUUUAUCUUGCCCUUGCUGUUUGUGAUUACAGGGCUGAAUUUACAGAUACAUCUGUGUUUGAGGGAUGGCUGAACUUCAAAGCCACGUUUGUUUUUUUGCAUCCUGUGGCAGCUGGUGUGUGCUGGGGCAAGAGCCUUCGCUGGGCACUCUUUGCCUUUGCAGUGUCCCUGUCCCCUGAUCCCCAACCCAAACCCAUGGGGGACAUGGGUGCCCUCAGCUUGGGGGGCAGAGGCAGGAGAGGUGGAGCCAAUUCUUCUACUCAAAAAAACAAAUCAUGGUGCAACUAUAGAAUAUUGCAUUAAAAAGGGGGUGGGGGAUAAGCAAAAAACCUCAUCAGAACUCUCAAGUUGGAAAAAUUCAGUUAUAAUCCAUGCAAGAGAACUAUUGGAAAUGGUUGCUACUGCUUUGUUCUAGUCUCUCUAGGUCGACAGAGGUUCUCCUGCCCCUCUACUCUGCCCUGGGGAGACCACACCUGGAAUAUUGUGUCCAGUUGUGCCCCCUCAGUUCCAGCAGGACAGGGAACUGCUGGAGAGAGUCCAGCGCAGCCACCAAGAUGCUGAAGGGAGUGGAGCAUCUCCCGUGUGAGGAAAGGCUGAGGGAGCUGGGGCUCUGGAGCUGGACAAGAGGAGACUGAGGGGGGACUCAUUCCUGGGGAUCAAUAUGGAAAGGGGGAGUGUCAGGAGGAUGGAGCCAGGCUCUUCUGGUGACAACCAGUGAUAGGACAAGGGGCAAUGGGUACAAACUGGAACACAGGAGGUUCCACUGAAAGAGGAGAAGAAACUUGUUCCUGGUGAGGGUGGCAGAGCCUGGCCCAGGCUGCCCAGGGAGGUUGUGGAGUCUCCUUCUGUGCAGACAUUCCAACCCGCCUGGACACCUUCCUGUGUAACCUCAUCUGGGUGUUCCUGCUCCAUGGGGGGAUUGCACUGGAUGAGCUUUCCAGGGCCCUUCCAAUCCCUGACUCUGUGAUUCUCUGCUGAGAAGCCCCAGGCCGCAGCGCCCACUCCCACCAAAGCCACCAGCCCCAGCUCCGUGUCCCCAGGGUUGUGCCUGGUGUGGACAGAAAUGCACAUGAAGGAAUAGUCUGCUUGGGGCUCUGAUGACACAAGUACAAUUCUACAUGUGCAAGAUGAUUUUUUCAGAUCUGGUACUGCAUUCUAAGCUGUGUAUGUAUUUUGUUUUUUGUAUUCCAGAUCUGAAUUUUGCUUUCCAUGGUGUUUUGUGGGACUUGCUGCUGCUGCUGUCCUUGUUCUAACUGAUGAUUUUGAGUGUGGUGCACUUAAGGGCAUAAAGAUGGGACUUGCUAAUGGAGUUUUCUAUAUAGCAGUGCUAUCAUUCUAAACAGUUAGUUAAAAAAAAAAAAACUUAUUUAUGCUGUGCAUUACAAAUAGAAGGAUUUCAAGGGGUUUAGCAUAUCAUGUCCUUUCCUACAUAUAAAAAUGGAAAAUGCUUCAAGAUCACACGUUGCUAGUCUAUGCAAUAGGGUUAUAUAAGAUUUGAUAUAGUUCACACACAUCCUGGCAUUGCAGGGCACGUGGAAAGCCUGUGGAAAACCCGUGUUUGGUGUCAGCGUGUCCCUGUGGUUUGUGCAGAGCCCGGCCGUGCUGGGGGGCUGAGAGCGGCGGGUGCCGCGGGCUGGGCUGUGCCCAUGGCAGGACACGGCUCGGCACGUCCCCCACCCUGCCACGAACCUGCCGCUCACCCUGUUUGUGUUCUGUGCACUUGGCACUUCUCACGCUCGGAGAUGGUGAAGUUAAUUUUGGUGGGUCUCCUACUACACAAGGUCCUGACCAGCCACUUCUGCCUUUUCCAGCAAUCCCUUGGGGGCCAAGGGAUUUACUGGAGGUCGCUGAGGAGCAAAACAAAAUUACCUUUGGACCUAAUUUGGCAGCAGUGUUUAGAGAGACACAGCUGGGGCGGCAGAAGAAAAGAGUUUGGUAUCUUUUCCAGUGCUUGGGUCUCAAUAUUAACAAUUUUGUGGAACGUUAGUUACCUCCUGGCUAUGUAUUUUGGCUGCGGAAAUGAGCAGGUGCCCAGGUCAGGGUGGGAAGCGCCUGCUGCACCGAGCACACGUGUGCAGGUCCGCGGUCCCUCCUCUGCUCCCCCCACUGCUGUCAGGCUUGUGCAGAAUGUUUCCCGCUUUAGGUUUCUAUGAUUUUCACCAUGAUCAGGGGUAUAGGCAGGCACAGUGUUUCCCUGCGCCACAGGAGAAUGGUUAUGUUGGACAUGUCCAAGUGACCCAUGGGGCAUCCCCACAGCAUGUUGGCGGGGCCAGGAGAGCCCCUUGAAUCAGGGCACGUUCUGAGUGGAGCGGUGGCAGGAGCGUCUUGUCCCCCACGGUCACAACCGUGUGUGCAAACUGGGGCUGGGAGCACGUCACUAUACGUGUGUCCGUAGUCCAGUCCCUGGUGCCCGUUUUGCUCCUAUUUAUAUGCAGCAUCUGGUGUGACACCAGCUUCUGGCUGGACUUUGCAAACAGCUUUUAUAAGAUGUCUGGGAGCUGGUCCGUACCCACUAACAGCCUGUGAGCCGCCUGCACCACAGUGCGAGAGGGGUCGGGGCAGUUGUGGGGACACUUCGGGAUGAAAACACAGUAAUUCUGUCUCUCCUCAGGGUGGGUGCCAUGGAUCAUCCUGUGAGGAUCACUCUGAUUGUGGUAAAGGCUGUUGUGCCGCUCUGGCCCCGUUCCAACGCGCUAUGGGGAUGGGGAUGGGGAUCCUCCCACGCCCUGGGUUCCUUCCUGGUCUCGCUGUCCUGCACAAGCCACGGCAAGAUCCCGAGUGUUGCAGAAAGCCCAGUGAAACACCCGGGUUUCCCGGGAUGUUGCGUGUCCGGAGGCGCAGCAGCCCCGCUCUGCAGCCGCCCGCCAGCGGGGCCAUUUAAUCGAUUUUCUGCAGGGCAUUGAGCUCUAGCUCGGAGCUUUGGGUUUUCCAAGGAGAUCUCGCUCCCUGUGAGAUUGCCCCAGAGGUCAGCGUCUUAGCGCAAAAGCAACAGGAAAAUGACUUCCAGCGCUCACCUUCUGUGCCCGCAAUAAAUUAAGCGAUGAAAUACCAGAAAAGCACCUACAAAAGAAGUUGUCCUGCAACUCGAGAAAGAAAGAUUGAAGGAAAUCCCUGGAUCUGUGAAUGGGUGGUAGGGCUGGGGGAGGAGCGGGGGCUGCAUUUGGAUGUGGAAGAGACAUCAAGGUAUCUUUAGCAUGAACAGCAAUAAAUGUGACUUGUCUAUAUAACUUUCUGUAAAACUGAAGUUAACUGUGUUAAUAUUCUGAACAGUUUGGAGCAAGUAAAUGGCUUGCUGCAUUGGAGGAUAUUUACUCACUAAGUUUCUUUGGAUAAAUCCCCCUGGUGCCUACGUUAUCUGACAGUUUUUAUUUUUCUAUAUUCAACAGGAACCAAAGUACAAGUCUCUACUUCAGGAACCAUUGCCAAGGAGAUGAUUAUUCAUUAACUCCGGGUGGUGAUUGCUCAGGCUCUAAGUGAGUUGCCCUGCGCUCCCGCCUGCGCUGCUGCAGCACCUCAGCUUCUUCAGCCACAGUAAGAAGGACCUUUAUUUGAAUGGACAGACCAGCAGAAAGAGCAGCCAACUACCUGGAAAGAGCUGAGAGUGAUCUCUGCCGGUCUGCUUACCCAGCUGAGGACACGCUCACCGUGUGCUUUGUGAGGGGCUCAGGAUAUGCAGUUACUAAUUCAUUUGUGGUUUUUUCCCCCCUCUGUUUUUUAUAAGUUAAAAUAGUAAUGUUUCUCCCAAAUUUACCAAAUCAGAAUCAAAACCUGAACUCCAAUUGUUGGAAGAGGGGAAGUUCUGUUCGGUCAGGUGUUCGCUGGACUCUGUGAUCCAGAAACACUGUGUGAAUGAGGGAGAAACAACCAACCACCCAACCGUCCGUACUGUGAUUACACGAAAUUACUUUGAGAAGUGGAAGGUAUUAAGAAAUAAAACCAGUUAAACAAAACCGAGCCCCAAAAAUAGUACAAAAUAAGUUGUAGCAGUUUCUGCUUGCCUUUUCUCCAAGAAUUACAGCCUGAAAAACCACUGUUGUAGAAUUCAGCUACAGAAACCAAUGGAAAAUAUAGGACACAAUGCAGACACCCCCCCACCCCUACCCCCCUCACCCCCUCGCCCCGCUGCACUUGUGUCCUAUGUACUACUGUGCAUUAAUUUAUUUACCAUGUUUAUAAUCCUCAUUUACUUAGGAAACCCCAUAUAAUGCAUGUACUAAACACAUAAAUACAUACUCGGGCAUAUAGCUCACAUCCUAAUUAUUAAUCCCCAUAAAACUCAAACAUUCCCCCCAUCAUGCAUGUACUAUAAACACACACAUAACCGUUCCAUGGAGAGGAACAAGUACAAGUGUCGUUUAAUUUUUUGAGGCUCCAUUUUUAAAACAAAGCCCUUGGAGUGCAGUGAUGCUGCGUAACCAUCACUCUUUAAGGCCUGGAGAGGCUUUGCAAGCACAGCUUCUGCUGUAUCCAAACCAUUCUGCAUGCUGUGAUGUGGAUCUUGUGGAAGAGAACAGGGAAAAUAGAAACCACUUGCAAGAUAUUGUUGGUCCUGAAGCCUGCUUAGAUAAUGAUGCCAUGAUAUGGACCUUUUGAGCACCGUCCCACCUCCCUCCUCUCCCGCGAGCGAAGGCAUCGCUUGUCUCCUGGACUCGGGAGGCGUGGGGUGGGUGAAUUCCAGACUGUUUCAGCACUGUUGAUCUGUCGCAAUCCUCAGUUAUUUUUGGGUAAUAUCUAAAAGAGGACCCUGUGAACGUGUACAUUUGAUGCUAACUCUCAAACGAGUCUCCAGGCAACAAGGAAAUGGCUGUGCUGCUUUCCACCCUCACUAGAGACAAACCAGAUAUUUAAUGAACGGCUAAAAGGAACAAAUGUUUUCAAUUCAUAAAUACCAGUGAGAAGAAACUAGUUAUGUAAGUUAAAGAGGCAAAUUAGCAUGAAAUUAAGGAAAGAGGGAAUUUACAUUUUUGUAUCAGAAAAAUAUUCACAGACAGAUAUAUUGGGCUGUGCUGAAAACUGAUUAGAAGUCAGCACUUCCACUGCUGGGGGCUGCACAGCUCUACAUUCUGUUUUACAGAAAUUAGAACUUUUUAUGUUUCUGUGUUGGCAGGGAAAUACCAGAGUAGAUGAUAUGCUGGAUUAGUUGUUAUUACGUGCCAACAUUUGAUAGCUAGUAUGGGAUUUUGGAAGAGAAACUAGGGAUAUGCUAUCAGCCCCGUUGUAGUGUUGGAGUAAAUGGGCUCUUGUUAUUUUUUUCAAAGUGAAUAAAAAGUGGGAGGAAAACUAGCUUGCCAAGAGGAAUAGCUAGCAAUUAAUGAAAAAUAGCUUUGCUCUUUGUGGACUUUACAGAUGCAAGGAUGGAACCAGCAUUUUUUUGGUCCUGAUUCAGCAGGUUCGUGCAGGUCACACGAUUCACAGCACAAAGCCUUGGCCUGAGCUGCGAGAGCGACCGCGGGAGAGCGCGGGCCGCCCGAAGCCUUUGGUGUCGGCGUGCACCGGCCAGCUGGCCGCGGCUGUGGCGGGACACCUCUGCUCUGAGCGCGGUGAAGAGCUUCAGAGCGUGCUGUACACACAGCCUCAGCUCGCUCUGCCUCCAGAAACUGUGUGGCUCCAGCACCAGCUGUACGGUAGUGCUUCUUCCAUAGUCCCCGGUUCUCCCAGACACCGUACUCCUCCGUGUACCACAGGAAAAAAUAAGCAAAACCAAGCCCGAAGACCCUCACUCAAGUUGUAUUAAGUCUUUUGCAGCCACAAAACAUUUCCUUCAGCUGCAUGAAGGGAGUGGAGCAUCUCCCUUAUGAAGAAAGGCUGAGGGAGCUGGGUCUCUCUAGUUUGGAGAAGAGGAGACUAAGGGGGGACCUUAUUAAUGUCUAUAAGUAUAUAAAAGGUGAGUGCCAUGAGGAUGGAGCCAGGCUCUUCUUGGUGGCAAACAAUGAUAGGACAAGGGGUAAUGGGAUCAAGCUGGAACACAAGAGGUCCCACUUAAAUUUGAGAAGAAACUUGUUCCUGGUGAGGGUGGCAGAGCCUGGCCCAGGCUGCCCAGGGAGGUUGUGGAGUCUCCUUCUGUGCAGACAUUCCAACCCGCCUGGACACCUUCCUGUGUAACCUCAUCUGGGUGUUCCUGCUCCGGCAGGGGGAUUGCACUGGGUGAUCUUCUGAGGUCCCUUCCGGUCCCAAACAUACUGUGAUACUGUGAUACUGUGACAGAAUAAGGAGACACCCAUGAUUUACACAGCUGUGCUGGUGCCAUGGGCAGCUUCAGCUGCCAGAGGUGACAGCGGUGGCCUUGUCCCCAUGUGUUGCCCAGGACGGGGGCCAGCUGGCAGGGAGGCCACCAUGCAGUCAACCUGCAGCAAGACAAGUGCGGGAAGGUGAGUGUGCCUGGGAUUUGCAGGGAGGCACAGGGCUAAAUACCUGUGCGCCCAAAGUGCAGUUAAAAAGUGCUUGUUUUGGGGUCAGUCACACAGAAUUUCUCAAAGGAGCUGAGCGGCCAGGAAAGACAGGUGCAAACCAAAGCCUGAGAGGCUAUAGGUCUAAUAUGUGCUUCUCAAAAGGAGGAGGAGAGGGGUUGUUCAGAGGAAAUGAGGAAUGAACUUUCUUGGGGACGGGAAGGGAUCCCAGAGCUGAAACGCCGGGGCGAGGAGCACGGCUGGGGUUACAAGGCUGGGCUGAGAUUGCAGGAGGCGGCUCUGGGAAUGAGAUUCUUGAACCACCUGCCACCCUCUUGGUCGUUGUGUCACAAAACCAUCCCCUCUAUUGUGCUCCAAGCAGCAGCCCAGUCAGAGUUGGGUACUUGCAGAGAGUUGGGUACUUGGAAAUGAGAACUACACCUGGUAUAGCCCUGGACUUAAUCGAAGCUGUGAGUAUCCUGGUCAAGUACAACUGUUAAUAAACACCUUAUAUGGAAGAAUGAAGAAUGUAUUUUUUUUUAUUUUAUAUAUAUAUAUUUUUAAUUAUGACUCAUUAAUCUAAAUUGGCCUUUUGACUCUUUGUGACUGGUUAGACCGAAGGCUAGACAAGAAGGCCACUAGUGCCUCUUGGGAAAAGCCAUUGGUAUUUACAGUAAUACAGAAAAUAUUUGCACAGCGAUGGGGGUGAGGGGAGGAUUGUGCCUCCCUGCGCUGGCGCCAUGAGAGCUGCAUCCCUGGCUAAUGAAUAUUUGUGGACGUGGAGAGCAGCUCUGUAGCGUGAUCACCCGUGUCUCCAUGCUGAGUUCCUGCAUAACAAGUCUCCCAAGAAUUGCUCCUCAACUCCAAGGGAAAGGCAAAGGGGGUGAGAGUGUGUGUGGGAUGGAACAACUCCUGCAUCACAUCUUUCCUCUGCAAAGGGCUGUGAAGCCAACAGGGCUUUGGGACCAGCAAAGAUUAUUCUUGUUUGCACAACAGCAGCAUUAACCAUGAAGGAAAAAACCCCAACAUUUAAAAUAUCCAGCUCCACGUUUACACUGUGCUGAAAUGUCUUUCCAUUGCACAAUAGCAUGGCGAGCUGCUCUGGGAUAAAGAUGGAGCAAUUUUUCGUUUCGCUCUCCAGGAGCAGAAUAAACCACAUAUUUUUCACACCACAUGAGGAUUUAUGGGAAAUGUUGACUCGGUUGUGUCUGUCAGGGUUACAACAAUCACUUCAGCAUUUUUUUUGGCAUACCUCUUGAACAUUCACCCAUUUGUCGUCUUUGCCUUGCACCAAGGAAGGGGUAAUUUUGUUUUGCAGUUCAGGGAUCUAUCCAAUUAUCUCAUUGCCUUAUUUAUGAAUAUAAUGAGGUGUGAUUUUUGUGUGUAUAUACUCAAACUGGAGCUACCAGUGUGUCCCUCAUCUUACAGGAGCAAUGCCACCAACUGAUAUUUAAUAUUUUUAUGGUUUUUAUAGUAAUUUUCGUCCUAUACUAGGUACAGAAAACAGAGCAUACUUUCCUGUAUACUUUGUAUGGUGUUAUAAAAAGGAACUCGGUGCUCUGGACAUUAAACUCAGUUUGCAAAACAAUGUUCCUACUGCAACCAGCACUGCCAAGCAAAAUAUUUGCCUGUUUACUGCUCUGGCAGUUGGACUGGGGUAGGUGGUAGCAGAGAUAGAGCAUUUACCUUUGUUAAAUGGUACAGCUUUGAAAGAGGAUGAUGUAUUAAUGUAUUAAAUACCUUACAAUCAGGUGGAGACAGACUUGGAGGGUCAGGAAGAGGGGGCUGAGGUGAUAAAUGGCCAAGAGACUAUAGGAACUUGGGUAGAAAUUUUAAAAACAUAAAUUCAGACCAGGCAGUGACAGAUAAAAUCCCUGGGGACUCUGGGGCAGCUGGAAAGCGAGGUUGGGACCAAAGCAGGGAAAUGAGACAACCAAAUGAAGCCUCUGGUUUUGCUCUGUUAAAGCUUUUGUCUUUUAUCCGGUCAGUUUAAAUAACUGUGGAGAAUCUAAUGGUGCUGCUGAAAAUCUAACAACCCUCUGAAUUUUCGCUACAACCAGUUUUUUAUUUUCAUUGCUGGAGAAAAAAAGGUGUGUUAUAGAUAUUUAGGAUGAUUUAAAGCACUGUGUAGUUUUUGGAGGUGCCAGUUGGAUGCUGGUGCGGCCUCAGUGGGCGCUGGUUGCCCUGGUCCUGUGCUGUGCUCCCUGCAAGGGCUGCGGGACCAGAGCCCUGGUGGUUUGCAUCAGGCAGGAGGCUUGAGCGAGGGUUUUCUACAGAUCUUUAUUGCUAGGCCACGACAAGGAAGGGAUCCAGCUUGCCUUUCAGAUGCCACAUUUGGUUUUGUAGUCUUAGCAAUAAAUUAAAAAAAAUAAAGAAAAAAAAUCGCCCUGUGAACUGUGCACACAUUAUCAUUUCCCAUGGAUUUCCAAAUGGUUCUGAGCCCCGACCAGGCCAGCUCCCUAGUGUGUGUGGGGGAUUGCACUGGAAACAGAGCUCACCAGCAGGAAUUUGGAGCUGGACCGAGGAGGAGGGCCGUGCCAGUGGGGUUUUUGUGACCCGUCCUCUGUCACCGGGGCUCAGCCCCAUGUCACGGCGCUGCCACCACCAGCUCUGCUGCCAUCAGGUAGAUCAGUCCCAAGUACCACAUGGAAAACCUCUCAGAAAAUGGCUAGUACAUUUGAAAAGGCCCAAGUCUAUCCAUUCAUUUGAAACGUGCACACAAGCUCAUACAGAGGCUUUACACAGAAUUUAGCAGCUGUUGGUUGUGAAGGGAAAGAGAAAUGCAGCUAAACGGAAGAGCGAUCAGUUAUUGAUCUUCUGUGUGGUAACUUGUGACAAGUAAUCACUGUUUUUCCUAGUUACUUUCACAAAGCAGGCUCAUCAGGGUCUUAAAGUCAAGUCUCUGCUGUUCUUCUGGUUAAGAAACCUUAGGCUUUAUGGCAGCUGCGUGUAUUGUAACACAACCACGUUAACGUGGUGGUUGGAGGUAUGGCACAGCGACAAACACCAGCGAGCCAGGCAGGCUCAUGAACAGUAUCUUAAAAAAAAUCAACUAGCAGAAGCAGGACAAAACAUGCAAUUCAUUAAGUAACCCCAUAUGAUCUUCUGAGUUCCAAACGCUCUGCAACUCCAAAAAAUGCCGAUUAGGAGGAGGCUUUCAGUUAAAAGCAAUCCUGUGGUUUGCGAAGGCAGGAGCAAA